GACGAACGCUGGCGGCGUGCUUAACACAUGCAAGUCGAACGGGUCUGCCCUGUUUUUUGCGGGGUGGGUCAGUGGCGAACGGGUGAGUAACACGUGAGUAACCUGCCCCUCACUUCUGGAUAACCGCUUGAAAGGGUGGCUAAUACGGGGUGUUCUUGCUGUGCCGCAUGGUGUGGCUGGGAAAGAUUCACUUUUGUGGUGUUUUGGCGGGGGAUGGGCUCGCGGCCUAUCAGCUUGUUGGUGGGGUGAUGGCCUGCCAAGGCUUUGACGGGUAGCCGGCCUGAGAGGGUGGGCGGGCACACGGGGACUGAGAUACGGCCCAGACUCCUGCGGGAGGCAGCAGUGGGGGGUAUUGCACAAUGGGCGGAAGCCUGAUGCAGCGACGUCGCGUGAGGGAUGGAGGCCUUCGGGUUGUGAACCUCUUUCGCCGGUGAAGAAGGUCCUGCUCUUUGUGGUGGGGUUGACGGUAGCCGGGUUAUGAAGCGCCGGCUAACUACGUG
rnacentral:rRNA from 1 species